UUCGGAGCAAUUGCCGGCUAAAACAGAAGAAAAAGAAGUCAUUCAGUACAUACCACGUAAUGAUAAUUAAAAUUUAAACAUACUUGAUUGGUUGUUGUAGAUAAUUGUUAAUUAAUUUACAUUCUCGCUUAUUGCUGUUAAUUCUAUACUCCGACAGCUUCCAGGGAAGAAUUGAAUCGAAUGUAUCCGGAAUUGGUCGGAGUGGUGAAACAAACAAUAGAGCUGGACAGAAUUUAUGCGCAGAAUCUUCGAUACCUAGCAAAUCAAAGGAAUUACAGAGUAGAAUGUCGAGUAGACGCUCAACUGGAGUGCUUCAAUAAACAAGAAAAAAUAGUCGACGAUGAUGAAGAAGCG
rnacentral:lncRNA from 1 species